rnacentral:rRNA from 1 species
AACAUCUAAGUACCCCGAGGAAAAGAAAUCAACCGAGAUUCCGAAAGUAGCGGCGAGCGAAAUUGGACUAGCCCUUAAGCUUUACACGCGUUAGACGAACGGUCUGGAAAGUCCGACGAUACAGGGUGAUAGUCCCGUAGUUGACGACGUGUGUUCAGUGAAAUCGAGUAGGGCGGGACACGUGAUAUCCUGUCUGAAUAUGGGGGGACCAUCCUCCAAGGCUAAAUACUACUGACUGACCGAUAGUGAACCAGUACCGUGAGGGAAAGGCGAAAAGAACCCCUGUGAGGGGAGUGAAAUAGAACCUGAAACCGUGUACGUACAAGCAGUAGGAGCACCUUCGUGGUGUGACUGCGUACCUUUUGUAUAAUGGGUCAGCGACUUAUAUUCAGUGGCAAGGUUAACCAUCUAGGGGAGCCGUAGGGAAACCGAGUCUUAACUGGGCGUUCAGUCUCUGGAUAUAGACCCGAAACCAGGUGAUCUAGCCAUGGGCAGGUUGAAGGUUGAGUAACAUCAACUGGAGGACCGAACCGACUAAUGUUGAAAAAUUAGCGGAUGACUUGUGGCUAGGGGUGAAAGGCCAAUCAAACCUGGAGAUAGCUGGUUCUCCCCGAAAGCUAUUUAGGUAGCGCCUCGGACGAAUACUACUGGGGGUAGAGCACUGUUAAGGCUAGGGGGUCAUCCCGACUUACCAACCCUUUGCAAACUCCGAAUACCAGUAAGUACUAUCCGGGAGACACACGGCGGGUGCUAACGUCCGUCGUGGAGAGGGAAACAACCCAGACCGCCAGCUAAGGUCCCAAAUUACUACUAAGUGGGAAACGAUGUGGGAAGGCUCAGACAGCCAGGAUGUUGGCUUAGAAGCAGCCAUCAUUUAAAGAAAGCGUAAUAGCUCACUGGUCGAGUCGGCCUGCGCGGAAGAUGUAACGGGGCUAAGUAGUAAACCGAAGCUGCGGCAAUAUACUUUUGUAUAUUGGGUAGGGGAGCGUUCUGUAAGCGGUUGAAGGUGUGUGGUAACGCAUGCUGGACGUAUCAGAAGUGCGAAUGCUGACAUGAGUAACGAUAAAGGGGGUGAAAAACCUCCUCGCCGGAAGACCAAGGGUUCCUGUCCAACGUUAAUCGGGGCAGGGUAAGUCGACCCCUAAGGCGAGGCCGAAAGGCGUAGUCGAUGGGAAACGGGUUAAUAUUCCCGUACUUCUUACAAUUGCGAUGGGGGGACGGAGAAGGCUAGGUGGGCCUGGCGACGGUUGUCCAGGUUCAAGUGCGUAGGCUUAAGAGUUAGGUAAAUCCGGCUCUUUUUAAGGCUGAGACACGACGUCGAGCACCUACGGGUGUGAAGUCAUUGAUGCCAUGCUUCCAGGAAAAGCCUCUAAGCUUCAGAUUGUAAGGAAUCGUACCCCAAACCGACACAGGUGGUCGGGUAGAGAAUACCAAGGCGCUUGAGAGAACUCGGGUGAAGGAACUAGGCAAAAUGGUACCGUAA